rnacentral:rRNA from 1 species
UACGGAGGGGGCUAGCGUUGUUCGGAGUUACUGGGCGUAAAGGGCGCGUAGGCGGCCCUCCAAGUCGGGUGUGAAAGCCCACGGCUCAACCGUGGAAUUGCACUCGAGACUGAAGGGCUCGAGGACGGGAGAGGAUGGUGGAAUUCCCAGUGUAGAGGUGAAAUUCGUAGAUAUUGGGAAGAACACCAGUGGCGAAGGCGGCUCACUGGCCCGGUACUGACGCUGAGGUGCGAAAGCGUGGGGAGCAAACAGG